CAGGGACCUCGCUAAUACCUCCAAGUCCAGAAGGAAAACGUGUUCUAACUCUGCCUGUGUAACCUCCUGAGGGCUCAUGGUACUGCUACAGUGUCUGUAGGAUUAAAGGAUUGUUUGAACUGAGCAAAAGACAAGGACUGCCUAAGUGUUUUUGAAUUGUUUUGGAGCAACCUGCAAUCCCUGUCAGGUGACCUCCCUCUUCGGGAGUUUUGUACUGUAGCUCAAUAAACUUUGCUUUGCUGCCUCCCUCCACACACACAAAAGAAAGAUACCUGGAACAGCCAUGGGUAUGUGGCUUCCUGACUCACUCAGAAGCACUUUGGAAACAGAGAACAUGGUGGGAUGAUGGUGGUGGUGGGCAGGAAUACGAGAAGGAUGGAAUGGACACAUGUGAAGAGCAAUAACUCCACUCACAGACCUUUUUUAGUUUGCUAAAGCUGCUGAGAUCAGUAGGGGUAGUCAGCAGAGAAGGAUUUGGGCCACGCUCCUCUCUUGGCUCCUGAUACUUCCUUAGCUUGUGUCAACAUAACUUCAAUCUUCUUAUGGCAUUCUUCUUAGGUGUGUCUGUGUCCAAAUUUCUCUGUUAUAUGAGGACAUUGGUCAUAUUGAAUUAGGGGCCCAUCCUUUGCCAGUAUGAUCUCAUCUUAACUAAUGCAUUUACAUUCCCUAUUUCCAAAUAAGGUCACAUUCUGAGAUUGAGGAUGAGGACCUCAACAUAUGAAUUUGGGGGUAAUAAAAUUAUUUUUUAAAGAUUUUAUUUAUUUAUU
rnacentral:lncRNA from 12 species